GCUCUUAUGGGUGGCGAGUGGCGGACGGGUGAGGAAUACAUCGGAAUCUACUUUUUCGUGGGGGAUAACGUAGGGAAACUUACGCUAAUACCGCAUACGACCUACGGGUGAAAGCAGGGGAUCUUCGGACCUUGCGCGAUUGAAUGAGCCGAUGUCGGAUUAGCUAGUUGGCGGGGUAAAGGCCCACCAAGGCGACGAUCCGUAGCUGGUCUGAGAGGAUGAUCAGCCACACUGGAACUGAGACACGGUCCAGACUCCUACGGGAGGCAGCAGUGGGGAAUAUUGGACAAUGGGCGCAAGCCUGAUCCAGCCAUACCGCGUGGGUGAAGAAGGCCUUCGGGUUGUAAAGCCCUUUUGUUGGGAAAGAAAUCCAGCCGGUUAAUACCUGGUUGGGAUGACGGUACCCAAAGAAUAAGCACCGGCUAACUUCGUGCCAGCAGCCGCGGUAAUACGAAGGGUGCAAGCGUUACUCGGAAUUACUGGGCGUAAAGCGUGCGUAGGUGG
rnacentral:rRNA from 1 species